rnacentral:rRNA from 1 species
GACGAACGCUGGCGGCGUGCUUAACACAUGCAAGUCGAACGAAGUGGCGAACGGGUGAGUAACGCGUAAUCACCUGCCCUUCAGAGGGGGACAACAGUUGGAAACGACUGCUAAUACCGCAUACGGAAGGAGGGGAUUGCGUGGGAUUAGCUAGUUGGAGGGGUAACGGCCCACCAAGGCGAUGAUCAGUAGCCGGUCUGAGGGGAUGAACGGGCACAUUUGGACUGGGGCAACGCCCAUACUUCCUCGGGGGGCAGCAGUGGGGAAUCUUCCCAAAUGGAGGGAAGUCCUACGGCGCCCCGCCGCGUGAGUGGUGACGGCCGUCGGGUUGGAAAGCUCUGUUAAGCGGGACGCGGUACCGGAAGAGAAAGUCACGGCUAACUACGUGCCAGCAGCCGCGGUAAUUC